UGCAAAAGAUCAUGAGCAGAUGUUGGACAAUUUUGUGACUUUCUUCAUCGCUGGGCAAGAGACAACAGCCAAUCAGCUCUCAUUUGCAAUCAUGGAAUUAGCGAGAUAUCCUGAUAUAUAUAAACGAGCUAAAGCAGAGGUGGAUGAAGUCCUUGGGACAAAAGAGACAUUUCAUAUGAAGAUCUUGGAAAAUUCACUUACUUGUCG